rnacentral:rRNA from 1 species
AGAGCGAACGCUGGCGGCAGGCCUAACACAUGCAAGUCGAACGGACCCUUCGGGGUUAGUGGCGGACGGGUGAGUAACACGUGGGAACGUGCCUUUUGGUUCGGAAUAGCUCCUGGAAACGGGUGGUAAUGCCGAAUGUGCCCUUCGGGGGAAAGAUUUAUCGCCAUUAGAGCGGCCCGCGUCUGAUUAGCUAGUUGGUGAGGUAAUGGCUCACCAAGGCGACGAUCAGUAGCUGGUCUGAGAGGAUGACCAGCCACAUUGGGACUGAGACACGGCCCAAACUCCUACGGGAGGCAGCAGUGGGAAUCUUGCGCAAUGGGCGAAAGCCUGACGCAGCCAUGCCGCGUGAAUGAUGAAGGUCUUAGGAUUGUAAAUUCUUUCACCGGGACGAUAAUGACGGUACCCGGAGAAGAAGCCCCGGCUAACUUCGUGCCAGCAGCC